rnacentral:lncRNA from 1 species
AAACACAAGCCAAAUAUAGUUCUUAAGAGUGUGCUGUUAACAGCCAAUCAAGCACAAUGCAUCAAACGAAUCAUAACAAGGGAGUUCAGAAAGACAGAAAAAUAAAACUAUGAACUAGAAAGUUGAAGCUAUGCUACCAUGUAGCCUAUAAUUAAUACUUCAUAGUUUCCAUAUUUCAAAAGUGACAGGAGUUCCCUUAUUACAACUAAACAUAUCUCUAACAAACUACUAAGUGGGUAAUACCAAAUCUGCAUCUAUAGCAGCAAUAGAAUUUGUAUAACCUUAACAAUCGAAAAAACCAUUCAAAUAUUAUGCAUAUUAGAUGCAUAGGAUCUUAAGCAAACUUGCUAUUCAGCAUAACAGGCUAAGAUUUAUACAGAGUAAGGAUUCAAAUAGUAAACUAGGCACAUGAACAACAUACACGACUGAACAUCAAACUCUUAACUUCCAUUUUUCAUUUCACUUUCAACUUGAAGUUCACAUUACGCAGGUUUCAAAAUAUGUACCUGGAAAUUACACAAAGGAAAAAAGGUGAGGGUAACAAACAGCUGCAGCAGUAAUGCAACAGAUCCAUCAAUAGCAAAAACCAAAAUAACAGAACUCAACAGCAGCAAGCAAGGUCCCAGAUUCAACCAAAUACACGGUGAACUCAAACUCAAACACCAAUGAAACAGUGACCUUGACCCAGAACUCAACCCCAAACUCUAAAAGAAGAACAAGUUCAAGCCAUUUCACACACCAGCUGAACCAAUGAUUGCCUUAGCAAGUUGAAAUUUCAAAAAUCAGAAGUGGAACUCAAUGGAACAGUGAUUUUUCUUCAAAUUUUAGCCGUUCUCUUUUUCUGAGUUUUCUUAACCUUCUAAAAAUCUCUCUAUCUAAAUGGAAACCCAAGUAACUAUGCCUUUAUAGGCAAGUUACUAGGGCAGCCUUAAGGGUUCAGUUUUAUCAUUUUAGUCCUUUUCAAAUUUUCCUUAUUGCUACCUAGUCCUUCAUUUACUGACUUGUUGGUCAAGUAAGUAUAUCAUGCAGCUUCUGGGAAGCUUCUCAGGUAGUUACUUGAGAGAUUCUCUCAGUAUAUUACCCAAAAUAACCCUUAGUUACCCCUAUAUUUUACCUUAAGAACUUAGACAGAACAUGGGUCAAAUUGACCCAAUUAUUCAAUUCAAAAAUCUAGGCCUGCCAGACUAGAUUGAAUCUCUUUCCUGGGUUUCUGACUUCGAAGCCCGUAUAGAUUCAUUGGGCUAGGCAGAAUUGUCCAAGAGAAAAAUCAGACUUCUUUUCUUUAAAAAUCAAUAAAUGAAGUAACACAAAGAAACACAGAAAUUAAAACGACAUGCAUGAACAAACUCGACUUUAACACACACAAACAGAAAUAAUUAAAAAUGGAGACAAAACAGAAGAGACGAAAUAAGAGGAGAUGGAGACUAUAACUUAAGCGAACAAAAUGAAAGAAGGGAAAAGAACUGAAAAAUACCCAAACCCGGUGGACAAAGUCUUGAAAAUCAUCAAAGGAAACUUCGAUUUUUGAACGAAAUGGACCUUAAUCAUGUGCUCUCAAACAAAAACACACGAAAAAACCAAUUUUGGCCUUAAACCUUCGUUAAACUGAACUGACUUGGGUUUGGGAUUUUAGGGUUCAAACCUUUGAUUUAUAAUUCGAAGAGUUCUGGGGUGAUUUGAAGGAAAAGGGUUAUGGAUUUGGUAUGAGGGGGUCAUGGGAGUUGCAGGGUGUUAAUUUGGGGUUGAACAGGGGUGGCGCCACCGCAGGAGAGAACAAGGGCGGCGCUAGGCGUUCCAGACAGAUUCGAAAGAAAGGAAGUGAGGAUUCAGAACGGGGAGGUGAAGGGGAGUCUGGGAUGUUUAUCUGGUGUUGAUUGGGACCGGCGCCUCCAGCCUGAGGCGGCUGG